CAACCCCUCAAGCACGGCUUGUGUUAUGGGCGGACGUCCCCUUAGCCGGUGGACGGGCCCCAAAUGCAGUGACCGAGGCCGCGAUUCCGGCGCCCGAGCGAAUGGGAUAACCACCAGCUCUAGAGGCCCGGCCGGCCCUCAGGUCCCGACCAAUCUUUUUUCAA
rnacentral:misc_RNA from 1 species